rnacentral:rRNA from 1 species
GUGUCAGCAGCCGCGGUAAGACGAAGGUGGCAAGCGUUGUUCGGAAUCACUGGGCAUAAAGCGUGCGUAGGCGGCCAAAUCAGUCGGGUGUGAAAUCCCUCGGCUCAACCGAGGAACUGCGCCCGAUACUGUUUGGCUUGAGGUCCGGAGGGGAGAGUGGAAUUCCCGGUGGAGCGGUGAAAUGCGUAGAGAUCGGGAAGAACGCCGGCGGCGAAAGCGACUCUCUGGUCGGAUCCUGACGCUGAGGCACGAAAGCUAGGGGAGCAAACGGGAUUAGAAACCCCGGUAGUCC